CGUGUAGGCGGCUCGUUAAGUCUCCGGUGAAAUCUCCCGGCUCAACUGGGAGGGUGCUUGAGAUACUGGCGGGCUUGAGGGCAGCAGAGGGGAGUGGAAUUCCCGGUGUAGUGGUGAUAUGCGUAGAUAUCGGGAGGAACACCAGUGGCGAAGGCGGCUCCCUGGGCUGUUCCUGACGCUGAGGCGCGAAAGCGUGGGGAGCAAACAGGAUUAGAUACCCUGGUAGUCC
rnacentral:rRNA from 1 species